UCUCUCUCUCUCUCUCUCUCUCUGGUAUAAGAAAAGGAGGGAAAAGUGAAAAGAGAUGAAAUAUCACAAAAUCCUGGAACUACUUGAACAAAAAAAGAAAAUGGCAAAGUAAGGAAGCUCUCAAGAAAAUGCUGUCACCACCAGACCUUCACCGCGGUGCUAGAUUCAGUCGACCAGUGUUUAUUGAGCACUGACUGUUAGCCACAAAUUCUUUUAAUUCUUUGUGAUGUCCAGAGCUUUCGGCCUUACAGGAGCUUGCGUUUUAGAUUCCAGAUUUGCCACCUUCCAUUUCCCUUCUUCGCUGGGAUUUGGUACACAGCACCUAUUCCAGGGAUCAGAGCAAAUAUCACCCUUUUUCUCACCAGCAUAGCAAAAAAAUAAUCUGCACUUCCCGUGUUGCAGGAGGCAGAUAGUGUUUCUAAUUCCAGGAGAGAUGUCCCCUAUGGAACCAACAAAAACAGGUCGAUCUUUAAUCCUUGGAGUACAGUCAAGAAUGACCCAGCCCACAGCCCAACUCCAGGGGUUUUCCAAAUGCUUGCAAAGCUCAGCGUCUCUGGACAAGUCCCAGGUUCACCGAGGCUUUGCUCUCUGAGCCCCAAAGCAGAACAGCCAUCCCUAUCUCACAAGCUUGUAGGAGGGUCACGCGGCAUGUGUGUGCCUCUGUGUGUGUGUGUGUGUG
rnacentral:lncRNA from 1 species